GAAUUCUGACUUGCACAUACACCAUUAUCCUAUUUGCUGGAUAUCCACAUAUUUGCAGCUGCCUUUAAAAUAACCACAGUUUCUGAGGAUCAAGUAGUCACAACCCUUCCAUUCUGUUCAACAAUUCCUCUAAGCGGUUUGACUGAAUCUGAUUUGGAAUGGGACAUUAGGCUUCAGAGACUCCCCGAGGGACUUCUCCAAAAAUGUCUUACCUCUCAUCUCUCUCUCUCCCUCCUUCCCCCUUCUACAUCUUCUCAUCUCUGGCGUUGACCUCCUCUUUGCUUUCUUCCUGGGACUCAGUGGGCAGGGACGUUGUUCUCAUUUUCCAUUGCCCCAUCUGCGACUUGGAACUUCACUACCGUCCUCGCUUUGAACCGCUUGGUCACUUGCUGCCUUUGUGGCGUCCUUUAACCUUCCUUUGAAUUUAGCUGGGGGGGUUGGCCGACCUCCACACGCUCCUUUCCUAUCUUUUCUUGCAACAAACUUGAGUGUGCCUGCUAAAAUGUGAAUGGGAUUGGCGCAGUAUCAAGAACAGGUAGUUCAAGGAGGGAUUUCAAAGGAGUACAUGGAUAAAAGAAGGGGAAAAUGUGUCUUAAUACUAACCUGCAGUUACUACUAUGUUGCUUUUAUCAGUUGGUGACCUCAUGUGAUGAGUUUCUAUAUGGGGGCGGGGAGAACCUCCCAAGUCUGUCUUUCUGGUUCUUGAAAUUCUCCCUACACCACACACACUCCUCCCAGAUCAUGGCUUUGUACACUCACUGACUGUUUUUGCCUGGCUGGGAUGUGCCAUUGAAAUCCGAUGACGCUUCUCACUAGCCUGGAUGGAGAGGGGUAUAGGAAUGUGUCUAUCAUCAUCAUUCUUAAUUUGUAUGUCAUAUUCCCAUAGUUAGAACCAUACUCAAGGCUUUGCAUGCAACAUGAAAAGAUCUACAUAAUUGCAAAAAUAUAACUAACGUAGUCAUAAGCAAUAAAUAAAAACAUAUCAAAAAGUACACAACAAUAAACUAUCUCCACAUAAGUCCUAAUAAGCUAAAAAUAAAGAUACAAAAAUCAAUAACAAUAACAGCAAAAUUAACAUCUCCCAAAUUAAAUCUUGACCCCCAACAAAAAACCAUAAACAAUACCCUAUGACAAGAGUCUGGAGACAUCUUGAGAAGCAGGUCUUGAAGGAAUCACAGUGAAUAUGUUCUCUUCUGGCCUCUUCCAGAACUUCAGCUUUGUGGCUGGAGUCAGGACUCUGCUUUCCCCAGCAAGGUGGAGAGAGCCUAGCAAGGUAGGAAGCAGGUAUUAUAGUACUCACAGAGAUAUAUUUUACAUUCCUUGCUUUGCCCACUUCUGCUUCUGCCUCUAUCCCCCACUUGACAUACAGCCCCUGGAAGAUUUCCCAGGAAAGGAGCUUGGUCCUUGAGGGUGAAAAAGGUUCCCCACCCGAACUCUAGACAAUGCUGAACAUGCAGUUCAAAAUAAUGCAGCCAAUCAACAUGGGAGAAAAAGCACUGGCUCGGUCUUACAAAAACUUAAGCCCCAAAUGCAAGCUGAAACACAUCUCCAUCAAAUUAAACAGAGAGACACUUCCAGAUAACCUACUUAUUUACCAUUUGUCAUGAUUUGUUUGCUGGGAGGUUAGCCAUUUAUUGAGCAUUGGUUCUGUUUUCUUUACGGGAAGUUAGAUGACAUGGCAUCAAACAUUGUCCCACACUUUGCAGUGCAUUUCCCCAUUACAUCGCUUAUUGCAAAAAGUCUGACUGGGGAAGCAGGUUUAUUAUGCAAGAGCUCCAAAUUUGCUGGUGUGUGAAUGAAUCCCACUGGAAAAUAGUGGCAGCCUGGAAAUGUCCAGAGACUAAAAUCAGAAUCAAAAGUCUGGAGGACACAAGUAGGUCUUCUCCUGGUGCUAAAAAGACAUUGAACUAGGCCCCGGGCAAGCCUCUUUGGGGAGUGCAUUCCAUGCAAGGAGGACCACUACCAAGAAGGCCCACUUCUCUCUGGUUGCCAUUUUCUAGGUAAAUGGAUAUUGUUAUUUUCCUGCCUUCCUUUCCAUACCUCAUAAAAACAAGGAAUACCAAUUUAUAUGCAACAUUCUUAGCUUCGGUUCAUGGAAGUAUUGGAAAUUGGUCUGAAUGUGCAUCAAUGAAGAGAAAACCAAUAAAAUCUUCAUCUAAGACAUCUAAGUGCAUAUGCCUUGGGUUAGAUCUCCACAUUUUCCCUCUGUGGGGAUAUCUGCUGAUGUUUAAUUUACCUCUUGAAGGAGGGCUACAGAUGCUUAAUGGUUCAAUUAACAAACAAAUAAAUUGGUACACUUCCAACCUUCUGACUGGUAUACCAACCUUCUGACAUCUUGCUCUUCUUUAAUUGAUCCCAGGCUAUGUAAGCAAACUGUAGUAAUGACAAUGCAAUAGUUUAAAGAAACAUCUAUGAACCUGUCUGGUUGUGCUAAGGAAAAAAGACACCUGUAGCCAUUUAUGAAAACUCCCUCUCAGUUUAAUGGCUCGCUUGGUGCUGUUGGGACUUAGCUCAGAGAUGGCAGAUGCUGCAGGAAGGAGACUGGAAAAGAUAGAAGCCCUUUCCUCUUCCCACUUUCACACUAAAGCCAGAGAUAGAACAUCCAGCCCCCUCCCAGGGGGGAGAGAGCGUUGCUGGAAUCUGAGGAGGGCUCUGAGCCACAACCUGAGCAGAAUUCGGGGGAAUAAGCAUCUCCAUCAUUCUCUCCCAGGAUUAGUUUCUAUCCCAGGAGAAGAGACAAGUUGCCCCCGCCUAGAUUCAAUGCAUGUUUGAAGAUUAGGUGCUCACUCGUGAAUAGAGAUUCUAAUGAAUGUAUCCGUCUCUGCUUUGAAGCUGGAUAGGUGGGUGUGGAAUUCUUGUUGGAACAACUUUUCAGGUCUUGCGCAGUCUUGAACUUCUUGCAACUGCCCCUGGACUCAUGAAUCUUUGCCUCUGUUCCUAGACCAAGCCCAACCUAGCAAACUCAUUGCCUUGCGAGAGCUCUGAGGCUGGGAUAACUCAUUCCAUCCUGCUGAGGCCAUACUUUAAUUGUGUAUUAUUCUGCCUUAAUAAGGAACAUUUCAUUGCUUACAAGUAACAGCAUAUACUGUCCUGUUUUAGAACAGGAGCCAAGGGCAAUCAGGCAUUUUCAAAUGGAAACAGGUAGACCUGUAGUUAGCCAGGAUCUAAGCUGUACAGGGCUUCAUAAACCCCAGCCAGCUUGUUGAAUUAUGCCUGGAAGUAACUUGGAACCCAUUUUUUUCCAGCACAGGCAAGAUAGGUUUAGCCAGCUGGUGCUAAAGGUCUUGUUCUGCCAUAUGCUAAACCAGAUCAGGAUUAUGAAUUGUUUUAAAGGGCAGCCCCAUGAAAAACACAUUGGAGUAAUCAAAGCUGAACUAAUAUUUAUAGGAGUCACUGGAGAAUAGCUUCCCAGGGAAGCUGUUGUAGAAUCUGACAAUCUGAACAUUUGGCAAGUUGAAAGGCUGGCUCAAAGAGCAGCCAGGGAGUGUUUGUCACUCAUAAAUCCUUCACUGGUGCAGCAGAGGUUCAGCUUGAGGACCUUGGAGAUCAUGGACUGGUCCAAUGAGUCCAUAAAAGAAAAGCUAAACCAUCCAUUCAAGAAAUAUGCAGAGAUGCUGGCCUAAUGAAAACUUGAUGACCUGUUUCAGAAACCAAAUUGGGAGCGACCACAGCUAAAUGACAUCUGGCAGUUUGCAACACACAGGGGAUCAGCAGGCGCUAUUAUUUUUAGCUUAAAGGCAGAAAAUGCAAUAAAUAUUAAAUCGAACCAUGCCUCACUCUUAUGCAAGUGUUGCUGGAUCUGAGUUGCUUGCUUUAACAGUUCAUUAUGUUCCUGUUAAAUAUAAUGAGUUUUACUUUGAGUACCGUGGACUUCUGGAUUUCAGCAAAGCCUAUAUACAUGCACAUAUAUCUUUUUUGUAUUUAAUGCACCACUUCAUUUAGAAAUAGAAAGUGAAAUGUUGGAAUGCGUGCCUGCAUGCUUCAAAUAUUUAUUUGUCGUCCCCGCUGCUGUUUAGUUUAAACAUUUGGAAGCCUCUCCCCACACCCCCUUUUCUCUUUCUCUCUUUCUCUGAUCCCACGAGACACCCCAUGAAAGAGUUUUGCCUCUGGGUAUCAAUAUCUCCAUGCAACACAGCUGUUAGACUUGGGAGCGUGAUAGAUUCGGCUUUUAUGAACGUAAUGAAAUGGAAUUUUUAAAUGCAGUAAAAGGGGGGGGGGAAACAGACAUAAGCUGGCACAUCAAAGGGAAUAGUGUAUUUCUGCUUUGGUUCCUUCAGGAGCGCUCCACGCUUUUGUGCCACUUUUUUGAAACGGGAGGCAUGCAAGAGAUUCAGCCUCCGACUCUCCAAACUCCAAAUGAGGCCAAGCCCCGUGUUCACAAAUCAGAACGGAUUGAAUUGCAUAUUAAUCAAGAUCUGUUUAAACUGCUCUCGCCACUCAGGGUGGUGAUGGCAGGGAGGGAGGGGGGUUUCUAAUGCUUUUCUUACAGAGAAGGGCAUUGUCAUCACUGGUCUGGGUUAUACACGGGAAAACAUCUUGCAAUGGAGUGACCCAUGUAAUGAAUCAGAUGCAAUGUGCUAUCAAACAGGAGGACCUUGUCUUCUGGGCACCAUAUGAAUAGGUUCCAUCUGCCUACAUGGUGUGAUUGAAAUCAGAGGUUGUGUGCCUCCCAAAGGACUGCAAGAUUACACUGUAAUCUGCACACAAACACAAUGCAGGGAUCCUACUUUCGAGCAGACAGCAUAUCGGAGACAGUAUUCCCGUGUUACCAGCAAUAUGAGCUGGUGAUUGGUGGUAGGCCAGAACUAUAGUCUAUAGCAGGGGAAGCCAAUGCAGUGCCCUCCAUUUGUUGUGAACAUCAACUCCCAUCAUCAGUGGCCAGUGGCCAUUCCUGCUGGAGAAGAUGGGAGCUGUAAUCUAAAGUAUCUGGGAAGCACCAGAUCAGUGACUAUAUUCACCUAUGUGAAUGGCUUUAAAAGAAGAUCGGACAAAUUCGUGGACAGCAUGGCUAUCAACAGGUGCUAGUCUCAGUGGCUCUGCUCUGCUUCUACAGUUGCUUCUGAAUAUGAGUUGCUGGAAACUACAGGAGGGAAGAGUGCUCUUGUGCUCGGUUUUACCAUAUGCAUCUGGUCAGCCAAUAUGAGAACAGGAUGCUAGACUAGAUGGAUAACUGGCUUAGUCCAGCAGGAUCUUGUGAUCUUAUAUGAAGCAAUUUUAAGCUCGUAAGUUGUUUGAAAUCAAAUGCCUGAAGAAGCAGGCAUAAAAGUUUGCCCAUGUCUUGAGAACUUAUUCUGAAUCUCUUCUUGAAGUUCCUUCUAUAUUGGAAUUGCACUCUGUGACAACUAUAAACAAUGUAAAACUAAUGCUUCUGUGUGAUAACCUUUUGCAUGGAUAAAUUGCUUCUUCAUGGGUUUCCUUAUCUCAGUAGCUUCUUCUACAUAUUGCUAUUUCUCCAUUAACAUAUAACUUUGCCUCAUUUAAGGGGACAUUCAGUGAAGAAUGCAGCUGUUUUCCAUCCGACAUCUGCUUAGUGUCCCAAGGCAUUUUGUGAAAUUCCUUGCUUCACCAUGUCACCAAAAACAUGGCUUGCCUAUUGGCGUUAGAAGCAUCAUUAGGUACCCAGAUGCCUUGAUUAUUACAUAAAUAAAUAAAUAAAGUUUAUCGGUUUGUACCAUACUGUUGUUGUUGUUUAGUCGUUUAGUCAUGUCCGACUCUUCGUGACCCCAUGGACCAGAGCAAGCUAGGCACUUCUGUCUUCCACUGCCUCCUGCAGUUUGGUCAAACGCAUGCUGGUAGCUUCGAGAACACUGUCCAACCAUCUCGUCCUCUGUCGUCCCCUUCUCCUUGUGCCCUCAAUCUUUCCCAACAUCAGGGUCUUUUCCAGAGAGUCUUCUCUUCUCAUGAGGUGGCCAAAGUAUUGGAGCCUCAGCUUCAGGAUCUGUCCUUCCAGUGAGCACUCAGGGCUGAUUUCCUUCAGAAUGGAUAGGUUUGAUCUUCUUGCAGUCCAUGGGACUCUCAAGAGUCUCCUACAGACCAUAAUUCAAAAGCAUCAAUUCUUCGGCGAUAAGCCCUCUUUAUGGUCCAGCUCUCACUUCCAUACAUCACUACUGGGAAAACCAUACUAGGUUGUCUUUUUAGCUACUACCAGUAAGCACUUUUAAAGCAUCACCAUUGGAAAACAUAAAUUACCUGUCUGGAGUCCCUUUUCCCCUAUUUCAAGAACUGUCAUUAAACUAAAUUUGACCCACCUACUGUACCUUCUCUGCACAGCGAGGGGGAAACACAGUGUGAUUUGAAGAGCUUCUGGAUGGUGAUGAUGAUGAUUGAAGGUAGUGAAAAAGCUGGUGGUUCAAAGCAAUGGAAAGUAAGAGCACUGCCCCACCCGGGCAGUUUUACCAGCAUCUGAUUUAGAGCUGGAUGAAUCUGUUUGUUUCAGUGUCUCUCUGCUUCCUCAGGUGUUCACCUCAACACAUGAGUGCUUGAAGUGUGGGCAGGGACACAAAUGCAAGCCCUAACGCCAGUGUCAUUGAUGGAUCAUGUCCCUUUCAAUUUGAACAUGAGUAGAACACCUGAUGUGAUCAGGAUCCCUGAUUGUGUGAACAUGAGAUCAGUCCUGCCAGAUCAGUCCAAAGGCCCCUCUAGUCCAGCAUCCUGUUUUCACAGUGACCAACCAGAUGCUCCAAUGGGAAACCUGCAGGUAAGAGCUGAGCACAGCAGCCCUCUCCCCUCCUGUUGUUUCCAGCAACUGGUAUUCAGACUCAUACCACCCCCAACUGUGGAAAUAAAACAUAUACAUUAGGCUUAAUAGCUAUUUACAGCCUUAUACUCCAUCUGAGUAGCUGAGUAGAAGCUGUGGCCCACAGGUGUUCCUUAUUCAGUACAGGAACAGUGUGCCCAGGGACACUGGUGGGGAUGGGCUUGCAGGAGCAUGUUGCCAAUUCCCCAUUUUACUUCUUCAGUUUUCAAUUUUUCAAUUUCCACAUACAUUUGGUUUUUAAAAGGUCUACAUGAAAAUUCAAACUCAUCCUCAUGUCUCCUAAAAUAUGCAUUUUUUUUCUGCAUAGUUUUGCCUAGUCACCUGCAUUUUUCCAAACAUUUUCCCCUAGUGUGAUGCCCUUUUUGUACAUUGUUUUUAUGAACACAUGCCUUUUCACAUGCACUUUUCACCAUUGUUUUUCUAUGUGGUGGAAAAACGGCACCACAACAUUUGGAGAAGUAUGCUUUUCAAAGCAGGGCUCUUGAAUAGAUUCACAAGGUGUGAAUUUUAUAAAUUAACAAAUUCAUAUAACAAUGUGAACCAAAUGAAUUUCUUCUCAGUCCCCAGAGAGAUGGCACCACCUUUAAUGACAUUUCUGGCAAGUGCUUGAAUGAAAGGGUGACCAGAUGUACCUUGUCUUUCAUGAGAGAAGAAAGGUGGGAUCUAAAUGUAAGAAAAUUAAAUAAAUGUAGCUAGGCAAUAUCAGUGUGCAAAAGGUCUGAAGUUCAGUUCUUGGCAUCUCCAGGUAGGGCCAGGUAAAUCUCCUGUCUGAAAGCUGGAGAGCCACUUCUAGCCAGUGUAGACAAUAGUGAUAGUUCAAUACUGAAUGGUUCAGUACUCUGACCUGGCAGUUUCCUAUGUCCCAAGGAUGGUGGAGACAGUCCCAAGGCUGUACAUAUUUGAAAACAUUUGGUCAGCAUGAGUCAUCCACUGGACAAUGUAAUGAGUGGCAUCUCCAGCACUCAGGUAUAUUGCAGAACUGACUUAAUAUGCUCUUAUUGCAAUGACUUUGAAAAUCAUAGAUGUAAGACUUUUACAGUGUACCUGCUCCAAGUGUGCCCAAGUGAGCUGUGGACAGAAAUCCAACAGAGAAGAUGAAUGUGUGCAGUGAUAUGGAAUAUGGAUGUCAUCCUGUGAUGAUAAGCCCCCCCCUUUUUUGAAAUGUCAACAUACAUGCAUAGUUUAAUUAGUUAGUUGACUGAAUUUCUGAAUCGCUCCCCACAACAGGCAGUCCUGAUUUACACCUAUAAAAUUCAAUAAUACAGUAGAAAAUAUAUCAACAUAUUAAAUACAUAGCCAGAGUAAAACAUUUCAAUCAUUGAUAUUAUUAUUAAUAAUAAUUUUUUAUUUGUACCUCGCCCAUCUGGCUGGGUUUCCCCAGCCACUCUGGGCGGCUUCCAACAAAGAUUGAAAUACAUUAAAAUGUCACACAUUAAAAACUUCCCUAAACAGGGCAGAAUGAUGACGUGGGUGCUCUGACACUGAACUGGGGCUCCUCCCCAAACUUCACCC